rnacentral:rRNA from 1 species
GAUGAACGCUGGCGGCGUGCCUAAUACAUGCAAGUCGAGCGAACAGACGAGGAGCUUGCUCCUCUGACGUUAGCGGCGGACGGGUGAGUAACACGUGGAUAACCUACCUAUAAGACUGGGAUAACUUCGGGAAACCGGAGCUAAUACCGGAUAACAUGUUGAACCGCAUGGUUCAACAGUGAAAGACGGUCUUGCUGUCACUUAUAGAUGGAUCCGCGCCGCAUUAGCUAGUUGGUAAGGUAACGGCUUACCAAGGCAACGAUGCGUAGCCGACCUGAGAGGGUGAUCGGCCACACUGGAACUGAGACACGGUCCAGACUCCUACGGGAGGCAGCAGUAGGGAAUCUUCCGCAAUGGGCGAAAGCCUGACGGAGCAACGCCGCGUGAGUGAAGAAGGUCUUCGGAUCGUAGAACUCUGUUAUUAGGGAAGAACAAAUGUGUAAGUAACUAUGCACGUCUUGACGGUACCUAAUCAGAAAGCCACGGCUAACUACGUG